CAGCAGCCGCGGUAAUACGGAAGGGGCUAGCGUUGUUCGGAAUUACUGGGCGUAAAGCGCACGUAGGCGGCUUUGUAAGUUAGAGGUGAAAGCCUGGAGCUCAACUCCAGAAUUGCCUUUAAGACUGCAUCGCUUGAAUCAUGGAGAGGCGUGUGGAAUUCCGAGUGUAGAGGUGAAAUUCGUAGAUAUUCGGAAGAACACCAGUGGCGAAGGCGACAUACUGGUCCAUUACUGACGCUGAGGCUCGAAAGCGUGGGGAGCAAACAGGAUUAGAUACCCCGGUAGUCCCUGUCUCUUAUAC
rnacentral:rRNA from 1 species